rnacentral:lncRNA from 1 species
UUUGAGCUCAACCUUUCUCUCAUUGCCUCCAUCUUGGAUAAACUCUUUUUCUAAUAAGAUGGCAUGAUGGCUCACAAUCAUAUUAUGAUCCUCAGAAAGAUAGAAGUAGUAUCCCAUCAUUUUCUUAGGACAUCCUAUGAAGCGAGCCCUAAAAGAUCUAGUCUCUAACUUGUCCGCCUGCUAUCGCUUGACAUGGGUCGAAUAUCUUCAAAUCUUGAGAUACCCAAGAGUUGGUUUCUUACC